AGGGGAAUAGCUCAGUGGUAGAGCAUAUGCCUAGCAUGCACCAGGUCCUAGGUUCAAUCCCCAGUACCUCCA
rfam:Camelus ferus unplaced genomic scaffold scaffold1449, whole genome shotgun sequence.